rnacentral:lncRNA from 1 species
CUUCCUGGAAGUGGUGUCCGUCUUUGGGAAGAGGCUGAAGUUUCCCACUCCGUGCGGUCUAUCUGGUGUUCUUCUGUGGCUAUACCUAGAUCAGAAGGGGGCAGUUUUAACAGCCCGCACCUAUGGAAGCAACCCAUCCCGUCAAAAAAAGUCAAUUGUAAGGAGCACAGUUCCUGGAACCACAGCUUCUGGGGAAGGAGGAGUCCUAUCUGUCGUAUCUACCAGCAACCCUCGACGUUAUCGAAAGAGACUAUGGGAAUUCACCUCUCAGAGUCUAGGAAUUCAAUUUGUCAUUGGAAGAAUCUUCUGGAAGGAGAGAGGACAGUAGACAAGAGGCCCCGGUUUUCCUGUCAGAGAUCUCUGAGAAUAUUUGAGGUCAUUCAUGUUCUGUUUGCUUAUUGUGAACGAGACACAGUUAGCUUCCUUUUGACUAUCAAACUCUGCUUUUUUGAAGGGCUCCCUGCACAAGCGAUAUGAGACUGCCUGCCUUGUGUGAGCCUUGGAUGAGCCCUGCAGCUCCUUCGAGAUGCUCCUUGGAUAUUCCUGAUGGAGAAGACCGACCCCGAGGAAGCUUGGUCCUGCUUGCGAUGAGCUUGCUGUGCUUUCACGGACACCCUUCAUUUCUUCUACCAGUUUUCAGUGCCAGGGUGCGCUUGAAAGGAGAGCUGAUGCCAGGGCUGUAGCCUUCCCCAGCCAGAGCAUGUGGGCCAAACCCUUUCUGGAUGGCUAGGCAGUGGGGAGAAGCCAUGAGAUAGAUGCUUGAGAAGUAGUCACAACUCCCCUGGGGACAGUCUGGUUUUCAGGGUUACAUCCAUUCAAAAACACCCCCCGGAAUUCAGGCUUGUGAAAGACAAGCUAACUUGACCCUGUUCCUUUGUUCUCACUGAGGUCCUGUCCUUGGCAUCCCCUUCCUCCUGUGGACACCACUGAGGUGCAGACACUACCCUGAUGGGGCUUCCCGUCCUGCUGUUCGGCUUUGGAAGAGACUUGAUUCCUUUCCUUUUUGUGCUGGUGGAGAUCACACACAAAAGGUAAGAUGAACCCAGCUGUUUGGGAUUCUGGAAGAAGGAGGUUGGCCUGUAUCCCUGCUGUAAGGGAAGAUGCUGUUCUUGGGCGUCUCCCUUUCAGGGAUGAUGACGGUGGCGGACAGGAAGCCCAGCUCCUGCCGCCUGGAUGACUCUUCCCUUGGUGGGGACCAAUCCUGGAUGGAAUCAGUUCAAGAUGGAUGCCAGCUUCAUACAAGAGCCCUAUCAGGAUUGGCCUGAGGUCUGUAAGAGUAUAUUUGGCCCAGGUAAAUCCAGGUGCUAGGGAUAUCUGAUACCCUAUAGCACAUGCACGCCAUCUUUAGGGCAUUUCUGAGGUCAGGAUGCUUCAGCUCUCACCC